ACCAGUGGCAACAUCAAUAAUACAUCAUUAUCGUAGGCCAACCACCCUUAUAACUCUACUCUCUGUCUCGUACAACAACAUCAGCCUACAAAACAACAAUAAUAUCAUCGAACAAUGGCAAGUUCACCAGUAAUAAAGCAGCAACAUACAACCUUAACUACAAUAACAAACAACAUCAACUAGUGACAACAACCAAUACUCAACAACUUUGUCUCUUAUUCCUCCAAUUCUUUUCAUCUGCGCACAAGAUUAAACUUGCCAAGCAUGCCCUCCAUACCUUCAAAAAUGUUCCAGCAAUUUUUCUUCAAAUUUAUCCAUUUCCCUUUUAAAAUUCAUACUAAUUAGUACGAAACUUGCCUCAUACAACCUUAUCCUCCCUUCAAAAUUAAAAAUCCAUCUGCAAUUCUCCCCAAAACCCCAUGAAAUUUAUGCAAUAUUAUCCUGAAUUUCCAUUUGUGGCACUCCUAUGGGUGAAGGUAUGGUGCCAAGCUCAACUUAUCGUCGUCCAUUUUCAGAUUAAUUAACAGCCGUUGAAAUUAGUAUUUCUCCAAAAUCCCAUAUAAACUGAACCCAAAAAUUGGGUCCUAAUAAUUUCUCAUAUAAUCCUACUGUUCUCACUGAAGGGGGAAGGGGAGAGAAGAUUCGUCAACAAAGAGCCCCAAAGAUGCGAGGUAUUCACUUGAAAAAAAACGAGAGUGAUGCAAGUGUAAAAAAAAAUCUGAUUUCUUCAUGAUGCAACAAGAAUUUCGAUGAAGGCUUGAAGUCCUGAUUUGCUGCUUUGAAAAAGAUAAUAUGGUUUCGAAAAGAACAGAAACCGAAUCAAGUCCAAGUAAAGGAACAAGUGAAGCAGCUAGGCUACAUCCACUACUCUAUGAGCUUGCUUUAUAGGCGUUAUCAGAUGCUAAUAGCCCUUUCACCGAAGAGCUGGUCAAAGCCUUCAACAUUGAUCGUUAUCCUGUGAGAAUGCAGUGUGAUGGUGUCGUAGAUUUAACGGGUGAUUUCGUGAUUAAGUCAGCCAUGGGAAAUCUUUCGACGCCUUCAGAAAAAUACUUCGAGAACAAAAGUUGGAUGCUUAUUUCAGGGACAACUGCUUUGGGAAAUAUCUUGAUUUGUCGGAGGACAAUAAUGCUCGUUUCCAAAUGAAAAUGGUAUAUGAACUACUCAAGCGUAAGUUUAUGUAUGAAACAAAAAUAAGAUAGAUGAGGUGUGGAUAAAUUACUGUGGCAUGCUUGGUUGUUUUGGUUGGAAGGAGUUUGUCAUAGUUACUGGACUAAAAUGUUAUCCUCCUUCUCAAGUUAUACCUAUUCUAACAAAAAAAAAAGCUCCCCGCACACCCAACAAAGGCAAAGGCAAGUGUGAUCGUGAUGACCUGGUGUCCAUUGUUGUUUCAAGCUUCAAAAACAAAAAUUUGAUAGAAGCGCUAAAAGGAACUUCAAAGGCAGUUUGAUGAACUCUGGAGGGAUUUGGCCGACUUCCGAGCAAGGCUGAGGAGGGCCUUGCUGCUGCUGAAUGAAAAUUGUCAGGUUCUUCCGUACUCAAUCGUUCGUUCUACUACACUAUUUAUUUCUCGCUCUUGUUACACCUUCAACUACUUUCUCUUCAAGGACUUGAUAGCUUUUUCCUAUCUCUGGAUGUCGCUAUUUUAUGAGACGCUAUGAGGGAACUGCAGAAGGAGGUUCAUGGCCUGCAUUGGGAGUUAGCCGCCGUCAGAGUAAGGAUACUGCGGGAGAUCCGCAGGCUGCGGAGGGGGCUGCUGCUGCCCUUUGAAGAUUGGUCGGCUGGCCAUACAAAUAAUAAUGAUGUUAAUAAUGAUGAUAAUAAUAAUUAAGCUUUUUUUCGUUAUCUAUGAAUUUUUUUUUUUUUUAUAAAAAAUUAUGUUUGAUGUACUUGACUUUUUAUUUCUUAUUUAAUUUUCAUGCUGUCUAUUUCUAUUUCUUCACGAAUGACAUGUCUACAAUUAAGGAAUAAUUUGAUUCCAGUAUCAAUAGCAAGAACAUAUGAGUUAUUUGUUAGGUUUUGUGUGUGACAGGAGUUGUAUCUGAAUUUUGUUGUUCGAAACAUAUUAGUAAUCUGAUGAAAUAGAUUAUU